rnacentral:rRNA from 1 species
UACGGAGGGUGCAAGCGUUAUCCGGAUUUACUGGGUUUAAAGGGUGCGUAGGUGGGUAAGUAAGUCAGUGGCGAAAUCUUCGAGCUUAACUCGGAAACUGCCAUUGAUACUAUUUAUCUUGAAUACUUUGGAGGUAAGCGGAAUAUGUCAUGUAGCGGUGAAAUGCUUAGAUAUGACACAGAACACCGAUUGCGAAGGCAGCUCACUAAGUCAUAACUGACGCUGAUGCACGAAAGCGUGGGGAGCAAACAGG